rnacentral:rRNA from 2 species
CGAUCUUCCACAAUGGACGAAAGUCUGAUGGAGCAACGCCGCGUGAGUGAAGAAGGGUUUCGGCUCGUAAAACUCUGUUGUUAAAGAAGAACAUAUCUGAGAGUAACUGUUCAGGUAUUGACGGUAUUUAACCAGAAAGCCACGGCUAACUACGUGCCAGCAGCCGCGGUAAUACGUAGGUGGCAAGCGUUGUCCGGAUUUAUUGGGCGUAAAGCGAGCGCAGGCGGUUUUUUAAGUCUGAUGUGAAAGCCUUCGGCUCAACCGAAGAAGUGCAUCGGAAACUGGGAAACUUGAGUGCAGAAGAGGACAGUGGAACUCCAUGUGUAGCGGUGAAAUGCGUAGAUAUAUGGAAGAACACCAGUGGCGAAGGCGGCUGUCUGGUCUGUAACUGACGCUGAGGCUCGAAAGUAUGGGUAGCAAACAGGAUUAGAUACCCUGGUAGUCCAUACCGUAAACGAUGAAUGCUAAGUGUUGGAGGGUUUCCGCCCUUCAGUGCUGCAGCUAACGCAUUAAGCAUUCCGCCUGGGGAGUACGGCCGCAAGGCUGAAACUCAAAGGAAUUGACGGGGGCCCGCACAAGCGGUGGAGCAUGUGGUUUAAUUCGAAGCUACGCGAAGAACCUUACCAGGUCUUGACAUACUAUGCAAAUCU